AACGUAGGUACCGAGCGUUAUCCGGAUUUACUGGGCGUAAAGCGCGUUCAGGCGGUUUGGCAAGUCGGGCAUGAAAUCUCUCGGCUCAACCGGGAGAGGUUGUCCGAUACUGCCGGACUGGAGGGCAGUAGAGGGUGGUGGAAUUCCGGGUGUAGUGGUGAAAUGCGUAGAGAUCCGGAGGAACACCAGUGGCGAAAGCGGCCACCUGGACUGCACCUGACGCUGAAACGCGAAAGCUAGGGGAGCGAACGGG
rnacentral:rRNA from 1 species